CCAGCUCCAAUAGCGUAUAUUUAAGUUGUUGCAGUUAAAAAGCUCGUAGUUGGAUUUCGGGUGGGUACCGCCGGUCUCCCUUUGGGCAAGUACUGGCGUGGCCCGCCUUGCUGUCGGGGACGGUCUCCUGGGCUUCACUGUCCGGGAAUCGGAGUCGACGAUGUUACUUUGAGUAAAUUAGAGUGUUCAAAGCAAGCCUACGCUCUGAAUAUAAUAGCAUGGGAUAACACGACAGGACUCUGGCCUAUCGUGUUGGUCUGUAGGACCGGAGUAAUGAUUAAGAGGGACAGUCGGGGGCAUUCGUAUUCCGUUGUCAGAGGUGAAAUUCUUGGAUUUACGGAAGACGAACAUCUGCGAAAGCAUUUGCCAAGGAUGUUUUCA
rnacentral:rRNA from 1 species